AUGGCUCAUGAAAUCAGUUAUCGUUUAUUUGAUAGUACCUUACUACUUGGAUAACCGUGGUAAUUCUAGAGCUAAUACAUGCUAAAAACCCCGACUUUGGGAGGGGUGUAUUUAUUAGAUAAAAAACCAAUGCCCUCCGGGGCUCUUUGGUGAUUCAUGAUAACUUCUCAGAUCGCAUGGCCUUGCGCCGGCGACGGUUCAUUCAAAUUUCUGCCCUAUCAACUUUCGAUGGUAAGGUAUUGGCUUACCAUGGUUUCAACGGGUAACGGGGAAUUAGGGUUCGAUUCCGGAGAGGGAGCCUGAGAAACGGCUACCACAUCCAAGGAAGGCAGCAGGCGCGCAAAUUACCCAAUCCCGACUCGGGGAGGUAGUGACAAUAAAUACUGAUACAGGGCUCUUUUGGGUCUUGUAAUUGGAAUGAGUACAAUUUAAACCUCUUAACGAGGAACAAUUGGAGGGCAAGUCUGGUGCCAGCAGCCGCGGUAAUUCCAGCUCCAAUAGCGUAUAUUAAAGUUGUUGCAGUUAAAAAGCUCGUAGUUGAACCUUUGGCCUGGCUGGCAGGUCCGCCUCACCGCGUGCACUUGACUGGCCGGGCCUUCUUUUCUGGAGAACCGCAUGCCCUUCACUGGGUGUGUUGGGGACCAGGACUUUUACUUUGAAAAAAUUAGAGUGUUCAAAGCAGGCCUUUGCUCGAAUACGUUAGCAUGGAAUAAUAGAAUAGGACGCGCGGUCCUAUUUUGUUGGUUUCUAGGACCGCCGUAAUGAUUAAUAGGGACAGUCGGGGGCAUCAGUAUUCAAUUGUCAGAGGUGAAAUUCUUGGAUUUAUUGAAGACUAACUACUGCGAAAGCAUUUGCCAAGGAUGUUUUCAUUAAUCAGUGAACGAAAGUUAGGGGAUCGAAGACGAUCAGAUACCGUCGUAGUCUUAACCAUAAACUAUGCCGACUAGGGAUCGGGCGGUGUUUCUAUUUUGACUCGCUCGGCACCUUACGAGAAAUCAAAGUGUUUGGGUUCUG
rnacentral:rRNA from 1 species